rnacentral:rRNA from 1 species
UACGGAGAGUGCAAGCGUUAAUCGGAAUUACUGGGCGUAAAGCGCACGCAGGCGGCUUGUUAAGUCAGAUGUGAAAUCCCCGGGCUCAACCUGGGAACUGCAUCUGAGACUGGCAAGCUUGAGUCUCGUAGAGGGGGGUAGAAUUCCAGGUGUAGCGGUGAAAUGCGUAGAGAUUUGGAGGAAUACCGGUGGCGAAGGCGGCCCCCUGGACGAAGACUGACGCUCAGGUGCGAAAGCGUGGGGAGCAAACAGG